AGCUCCAAUAGCGUAUAUUAAAAUUGUUGCGGUUAAAACGCUCGUAGUUGGAUGUAUGCAAUUGAACUUCGGUCCUUCCAAGUGAAGAUUACUCGAGGUUUCGCUUGCAUUUGUCCAGGGAAGAUGGAUGUACUUCACUGUAUGACCAUGUAAUCUGGACUUUUACUUUGAGGAAAUAGAGUGUUCCAAGCAGGCUUUCGCCGUGAAUAUGAUAGCAUGGAAUAAUAGCAC
rnacentral:rRNA from 1 species